GGGUUCGUAGUCUAGUGGUUAGGACAGUGCCCUUACAAGGCGCAAACAGUGGUUCAAUUCCGCUCGGACCCA
rnacentral:tRNA from 1 species